UACGUAGGGUGCGAGCGUUGUCCGGAAUUAUUGGGCGUAAAGAGCUCGUAGGCGGUUUGUCACGUCUGCUGUGAAAUCCCGAGGCUCAACCUCGGGCCUGCAGUGAGUACGGGCAGACUGGAGUGCGGUAGGGGAGAAUGGAAUUCCUGGUGUAGCGGUGAAAUGCGCAGAUAUCAGGAGGAACACCGGUGGCGAAGGCGGGAUCCUGGGCCAGUACUGACGCUGAGGAGCGAAAGCGUGGGGAGCAAACAGG
rnacentral:rRNA from 1 species